rnacentral:rRNA from 1 species
UACGGGGGGGGCAAGCGUUGUUCGGAAUUACUGGGCGUAAAGGGUUCGUAGGUGGCCAACUAAGUCAGACGUGAAAUCCCUCAGCUUAACUGGGGAACUGCGUCUGAUACUGGUUGGCUUGAGUGCAGGAGAGGAACGCGGAAUUCCAGGUGUAGCGGUGAAAUGCGUAGAUAUCAAGAGGAACACCUGAGGCGAAGGCGGGUUGCUAGGCUGACACUGACGCUGAGUGCGCGAAAGCCAGGGGAGCAAACGGG